AGUGGGAUAACUGGGUCAAAUGGUAGUCCCAUUCCAAGUUUUCUGAGGAUUCUCUAUACUGCUUUCCAGAGUGGAUACACCAACAAUUUGCAAUCCCACUAGCAAU
rnacentral:pre_miRNA from 1 species